GAGUUUGAUCCUGGCUCAGAUUGAACGCUGGCGGCAGGCCUAACACAUGCAAGUCGAGCGGAUGAGAGGAGCUUGCUCCUUGAUUCAGCGGCGGACGGGUGAGUAAUGCCUAGGAAUCUGCCUGAUAGUGGGGGACAACGUUUCGAAAGGAACGCUAAUACCGCAUACGUCCUACGGGAGAAAGCAGGGGACCUUCGGGCCUUGCGCUAUCAGAUGAGCCUAGGUCGGAUUAGCUAGUAGGUGAGGUAAAGGCUCACCUAGGCGACGAUCCGUAACUGGUCUGAGAGGAUGAUCAGUCACACUGGAACUGAGACACGGUCCAGACUCCUACGGGAGGCAGCAGUGGGGAAUAUUGGACAAUGGGCGAAAGCCUGAUCCAGCCAUGCCGCGUGUGUGAAGAAGGUCUUCGGAUUGUAAAGCACUUUAAGUUGGGAGGAAGGGCAGUAAGUUAAUACCUUGCUGUUUUGACGUUACCAACAGAAUAAGCACCGGCUAACUUCGU
rnacentral:rRNA from 1 species